UGGGGAAUUUUGGACAAUGGGGGAAACCCUGAUCCAGCCAUCCCGCGUGUGCGAUGAAGGCCUUCGGGUUGUAAAGCACUUUUGGCAGGAAAGAAACGUCAUGGGUUAAUACCCCGUGAAACUGACGGUACCUGCAGAAUAAGCACCGGCUAACUACGUGCCAGCAGCCGCGGUAAUACGUAGGGUGCAAGCGUUAAUCGGAAUUACUGGGCGUAAAGCGUGCGCAGGCGGUUCGGAAAGAAAGAUGUGAAAUCCCAGAGCUCAACUUUGGAACUGCAUGUUUAACAACCGGGCUAGAGGGUGUCAGAGGGAGGUGGAAUUCCGCGUGUAGCAGUGAAAUGACUAGAUAUGCGGCGGAACACCGAUGGCGAAGGCAGCCUCAUGGGAUAACACUGACGAUCAUGCACGAAAGCGUGGGGAGCAAACAGG
rnacentral:rRNA from 1 species